rnacentral:rRNA from 1 species
AAUGGGCGAAAGCCUGAUCCAGCAAUGCAGCGUGUGUGAAGAAGGCCUGAGGGUUGUAAAGCACUUUCAGUAGGGAAGAUAAUGACGGUACCUACAGAAGAAGCACCGGCUAACUCCGUGCCAGCAGCCGCGGUAAUACGGAGGGUGCAAGCGUUAAUCGGAAUUACUGGGCGUAAAGCGUACGUAGGAUGUGAUGCAAGUCGGAUGUGAAAUCCCCGGGCUUAACCUGGGAACUGCAUUCGAAACUACAUUACUAGAGCGUAGUAGAGGUAAGCGGAAUUUCGGGUGUAGCGGUGAAAUGCGUAGAUAUCCGAAAGAACAUCAGUGGCGAAGGCGGCUUACUGGAUUAACACUGACUCUGAGGUACGAAAGCGUGGGGAGCAAACAGGAUU